rnacentral:misc_RNA from 1 species
CUUGGUCAUUUAGAGGAAGUAAAAGUCGUAACAAGGUCUCCGUAGGUGAACCAGCGGAGGGAUCAUUACCGAGUUUACAACUCCCAAACCCCUGUGAACAUACCUUAAUGUUGCCUCGGCGGAUCAGCCCGCGCCCCGUAAAACGGGACGGCCCGCCAGAGGACCCAAACUCUAAUGUUUCUUAUUGUAACUUCUGAGUAAAACAAACAAAUAAAUCAAAACUUUCAACAACGGAUCUCUUGGUUCUGGCAUCGAUGAAGAACGCAGCAAAAUGCGAUAAGUAAUGUGAAUUGCAGAAUUCAGUGAAUCAUCGAAUCUUUGAGCGCACAUUGCGCCCGCUGGUAUUCCGGCGGGCACGCCUGUUCGAGCGUCAUUUCAACCCUCAAGCCCCCGGGUUUGGUGUUGGGGAUCGGCUCUGCCCUUCUGGGCGGUGCCGCCCCCGAAAUACAUUGGCGGUCUCGCUGCAGCCUCCAUUGCGUAGUAGCUAACACCUCGCAACUGGAACGCGGCGCGGCCAUGCCGUAAAACCCCAACUUCUGAAUGUUGACCUCGGAUCAGGUAGGAAUACCCGCUGAACUUAAGCAUAUCAAUAAGCGGAGGA